rnacentral:rRNA from 1 species
CCUACGGGUGGCAGCAGUGAGGAAUAUUGCUCAAUGGGCGCGAGCCUGAAGCAGCCAAGUAGCGUGAAGGAUGACUGCCCUACGGUUUGUAAACUUCUUUUAUAAAGGAGUAAAUUGAGGCACGUGUGCCUUUUUGUAUGUACUUUAUGAAUAAGGAUCGGCUAAACCCGUGCCAGCCGCCGCGCUAAUACGGUGGAUCCGAGCGUUAACUGGAUUUAUUGGGGUUAAAGGGAGCGUAGAUGGGUUGUUAAGUAAGUUGGGAAAGUUAGCGGCUCAACCGUAGAAUGGCACUUGAUACUGGCAGGCGUGAGUACAGUAGAGGUAGGCGGAAUUCGUGGUGUAGCGGUGAAAUGCUUAGAUAUCAGGAAGAACACCGAUUGCGAAGGCAGCUUACUAAACUGCGACUGACAUUGAGGCUCGAAAGUGUGGGGAGCAAACAGGAUUAGAUACCCUUGUAGUC